rnacentral:lncRNA from 1 species
AGCAGCGUAGUUACGUAAAGACUGCGGGGACCCGGCCGGGAGUGGCGGGCGCGCCGGGGCCAGCGCCUGGCCCUGCCGCGUCUUCCAGCUGCGGUCCCCACCGAGAGUUUGAGCCCGGCUGCCAGCAACGGAAGAGAAGGAGAGAACCCCACGAACCUCAGGAGCCAGCCCCCUUCAGAAAGGCUCCAAGACCAGAGCCACGAAGGGCAAACCCUACCCUAAUGCUUCAUCAGGAAAUGUUCAAACAUCCAAAAAGAUGCAGGGCUUGAACAA